UGCAUCUUCCAGGCCU
rnacentral:misc_RNA from 1 species